CCCUGACUCCUUGAGAGUCCUGAAGGAACGUUGAAGACGACGACGUUGAUAGGCCGGGUGUGUAAGCGCAGCGAUGCGUUGAGCUAACCGGUACUAAUGAACCGUGAGGCUUAACCUUACAACGCCGAAGGUGUUU
rnacentral:rRNA from 1 species